rnacentral:lncRNA from 1 species
CAAGAAUCGUCUUGGAAGGGUGCUGUUGAACCUGGUUUCUUCAGAUGGGAGGGGUUGGUGGUGGAGAGGUCUGCUCAGGCCAGGCCAACACCUGAGGACAAGACCUGGGCUCAGGAUGGAGGAAGAAGAGUGUUAGGUGUGUAUGCCAGAAAAGCCAAAAUGGAGUGUUUGAGACAUUUCAGGAAUGGAAAGACCUUUUCUAAAGAAGGCAUGAGGAAAGCAACAAGGAGUUGCAAAAGGUAAAAGUCUUUCUCCAUUGUGUGUGUGUGAGGGGGAU